rnacentral:rRNA from 1 species
GACGAACGCUGGCGGCGUGCUUAACACAUGCAAGUCGAACGGAAAGGCCCUGCUUUUGUGGGGUGCUCGAGUGGCGAACGGGUGAGUAACACGUGAGUAACCUGCCCUUGACUUUGGGAUAACUUCAGGAAACUGGGGCUAAUACCGGAUAGGAGCUCCUGCUGCAUGGUGGGGGUUGGAAAGUUUCGGCGGUUGGGGAUGGACUCGCGGCUUAUCAGCUUGUUGGUGGGGUAGUGGCUUACCAAGGCUUUGACGGGUAGCCGGCCUGAGAGGGUGACCGGCCACAUUGGGACUGAGAUACGGCCCAGACUCCUACGGGAGGCAGCAGUGGGGAAUAUUGCACAAUGGGCGGAAGCCUGAUGCAGCAACGCCGCGUGCGGGAUGACGGCCUUCGGGUUGUAAACCGCUUUCGCCUGUGACGAAGCGUGAGUGACGGUAAUGGGUAAAGAAGCACCGGCUAACUACGUGCCAGCAGCCGCGGUGAUACGUAGGGUGCGAGCGUUGUCCGGAUUUAUUGGGCGUAAAGGGCUCGUAGGUGGUUGAUCGCGUCGGAAGUGUAAUCUUGGGGCUUAACCCUGAGCGUGCUUUCGAUACGGGUUGACUUGAGGAAGGUAGGGGAGAAUGGAAUUCCUGGUGGAGCGGUGGAAUGCGCAGAUAUCAGGAGGAACACCAGUGGCGAAGGCGGUUCUCUGGGCCUUUCCUGACGCUGAGGAGCGAAAGCGUGGGGAGCGAACAGGCUUAGAUACCCUGGUAGUCCACGCUGUAAACGGUGGGUACUAGGUGUGGGGUCCAUUCCACGGGUUCCGUGCCGUAGCUAACGCUUUAAGUACCCCGCCUGGGGAGUACGGCCGCAAGGCUAAAACUCAAAGGAAUUGACCGGGCCCCGCACAAGCGGCGGAGCAUGCGGAUUAAUUCGAUGCAACGCGUAGAACCUUACCUGGGUUUGACAUGGAUCGGGAGCGCUCAGAGAUGGGUGUGCCUCUUUUGGGGUCGGUUCACAGGUGGUGCAUGGCUGUCGUCAGCUCGUGUCGUGAGAUGUUGGGUUAAGUCCCGCAACGAGCGCAACCCUUGUUCACUGUUGCCAGCACGUUAUGGUGGGGACUCAGUGGAGACCGCCGGGGUCAACUCGGAGGAAGGUGGGGAUGACGUCAAGUCAUCAUGCCCCUUAUGUCCAGGGCUUCACGCAUGCUACAAUGGCUGGUACAGAGAGUGGCGAGCCUGUGAGGGUGAGCGAAUCUCGGAAAGCCGGUCUCAGUUCGGAUUGGGGUCUGCAACUCGACCUCAUGAAGUCGGAGUCGCUAGUAAUCGCAGAUCAGCAACGCUGCGGUGAAUACGUUCCCGGGGCU